GCAGCACUGAAAUUGGAAAAAAGUUGACAUGUGCUUCGCUCCAUCUAUAAUUAUGCUUUCCCCAUGUGGCUGUUCUGUGACCUUUCUCAUUGCAGAGGAACUUUUUUUUCAUAACUGGACAAAAAAAAUCUAAUCAACAACAUACAAGCCAUAUAGAAUUGCAAACGGUGUACAACUUCAUGCUGUCAAAUGAGAUUGCAAAACAGAAAAAAAUAAAUAAAAA